GGGCGAGUCAGUGGGUUGGAGCGCCCGCCACUGGAACUUUGGCGGGCGUCCGCCGAUGCUUUGAUGGCGGACGCUUCGUUCACAUCGAAGAGGUCACAAGGUUUCCGCCGAAGGCGGACCCGCCUCUGGCGGGCGAGUCCUGUAUUGCCCACCA
rnacentral:tRNA from 1 species